CCUAGACUGAUGGCGACCGCGCGCACGGGUGCGCUAACGCGCUAUGCAACUUGCCCUCACAGAGGGGGAUAACCCGUCGAAGGACGGACUAAUACCGCGUACACUCCACUUUGGGCAUCCAAGGUAGAGGAAAUGAAUUUCGCUGUGAGAUAGGCAUGCGUCCCAUUAGCUAGUUGGUGAGGUAACGGCUCACCAAGGCGACGAUGGGUAGGGGAACUGAGAGGUUGAACCCCCACACUGGUACUGAGACACGGACCAGACUCCUACGGGAGGCAGCAGUGAGGAAUAUUGGUCAAUGGGCGAGAGCCUGAACCAGCCAAGUCGCGUGAAGGAUGACUGUCUUAUGGAUUGUAAACUUCUUUUGUAGGGGAAUAAAGAAUGGUACGUGUACCAUAGUGAAUGUACCCUACGAAUAAGCAUCGGCUAACUCCGUGCCAGCAGCCGCGGUAAUACGGAGGAUGCGAGCGUUAUCCGGAUUUAUUGGGUUUAAAGGGUGCGUAGGCGGCCUGUUAAGUCAGCGGUGAAAUCUAGGAGCUUAACUCCUAAAUUGGCGUUGAUACUGGCGGGCUUGAGUGUAGA
rnacentral:rRNA from 1 species